rnacentral:lncRNA from 1 species
CCAUCCAAGACCUGCUUUCUUCGAAACAGAGGACCAGGCUGCGUCAGACCGAACAACAACCGUUCCAGGCGGGGAUGGGAUUUGUUGAGGAGGCGAUCUAAGAGCAUUUGGGCUUUCUUUCGUCACGUCCUGACUCCAUUCCCGAGCUAAGGCUAUGGCCGCCGAGAGGGUGUCCUCAGGAGACGCAGAGUGUCCUUCAAAUACAAAUUUGUUUCGAGCUUUCCAUAUCGACCAGAGGACCCAUGGGAUCAGAGACCCCGAAGUGAUACCAGCGGGAGGGAGACAGUUAAGUGAGCAUAAGGUCUCCCAACUAGCCAUCAAAUCUAUUAUUCUGCUCACAUCCAAUAAUAAUCUAUUAAUAAUAAUAAUUAUUAUUAUAAAAAAAAAUGGAAAUAUAUCAUUUUGC